rnacentral:tRNA from 1 species
GGAGGGUUGGCAGAGUGGUUGAAUGCAACGGUCUUGAAAACCGUCAUAUCGUCAUUGGUAUCGGGGGUUCGAAUCCCUCACCCUCUAC